GCUAUAUACAGGAAGUACAGGAAAUAACAUGGCUAUAGACAGGAAGUACCAGGUAAUAACAUGGCUAUAGACAGGAAGUACCAGGUAAUAACAUGGCUAUAGACAGGAAGUACCAGGUAAUAACAUGGCUAUAGACAGGAAGUACCAGGUAAUAACAUGGCUAUAGACAGGAAGUACCAGGUAAUAACAUGGCUAUAUACAGGAAGUACCAGGUAAUAACAUGGCUAUAUACAGGAAGUACCAGGUAAUAACAUGGCUAUAUACAUGGAGUACCAGGUAAUAACAUGGCUAUAUACAGGGAGUACCAGGUAAUAACAUGGCUAUAUACAGGAAGUACCAUGAAAUAACAUGACUAUAUACAGGAAGUACCAGGUAAUAACAUGGCUAUAUACAGGGAGUACCAGGUAAUAACAUGGCUAUAUACAGGAAGUACCAGGUAAUAACAUGGCUAUAUACACAGGGCACCAGGUAAUAACAGGGCUAUAUACAGGAAGUACCAGGUAAUAACAUAGUAAUAACCUACCCACUCUCUUC
ensembl:lncRNA